UAGCGAAGGGGGCUAGCGUUGCUCGGAAUCACUGGGCGUAAAGCGCACGUAGGCGGAUUGUUAAGUCAGGGGUGAAAUCCUGGAGCUCAACUCCAGAACUGCCUUUGAUACUGGCGAUCUCGAGUCCGGGAGAGGUGAGUGGAACUGCGAGUGUAGAGGUGAAAUUCGUAGAUAUUCGCAAGAACACCAGUGGCGAAGGCGGACUCACUGGCCCGGUACUGACGCUGAGGUGCGAAAGCGAUGGGGAGCCAAAGCUAG
rnacentral:rRNA from 1 species